GACGAACGCUGGCGGCAUGCUUAACACAUGCAAGUCGAACGGAAUAUGGGUGCUUGCAUCCAUGUUUAGUGGCAAACGGGUGAGUAACACGUGGGAACUUACCCUUCAGAGCGGGACAAGCACUGGAAACGGUGUCCAAUACCGCAUACGCCCUUAAGGGGAAAGGAGCAAUCCGCUGAAGGAGAGGCCCGCGGCAGAUUAGGUAGUUGGUGGGGUAAAGGCCUACCAAGCCGAUGAUCUGUAGCUGGUUUGAGAGGAUGAUCAGCCACAUUGGAACUGAGACACGGUCCAGACUCCUACGGGAGGCAGCAGUGGGGAAUAUUGGACAAUGGGGGAAACCCUGAUCCAGCAAUGCCGCGUGAGUGACGAAGGCCUUAGGGUUGUAAAACUCUUUUCUAAGUGAAGAUGAUGACGGUAACUUAGGAAUAAGCUCCGGCUAACUUCGUGCCAGCAGCCGCGGUAA
rnacentral:rRNA from 1 species